GUGGGGAAUAUUGGACAAUGGGCGAAAGCCUGAUCCAGCCAUGCCGCGUGUGUGAAGAAGGUCUUCGGAUUGUAAAGCACUUUAAGUUGGGAGGAAGGGCAGUAAGUUAAUACCUUGCUGUUUUGACGUUACCAACAGAAUAAGCACCGGCUAACUUCGUGCCAGCAGCCGCGGUAAUACGAAGGGUGCAAGCGUUAAUCGGAAUUACUGGGCGUAAAGCGCGCGUAGGUGGUUCAGCAAGUUGAAGGUUAAAUCCCCGGGCUCAACCUGGGAACUGCCUCCAAAACUACUGAGCUAGAGUACGGUAGAGGGUAGUGGAAUUUCCUGUGUAGCGGUGAAAUGCGUAGAUAUAGGAAGGAACACCAGUGGCGAAGGCGACUACCUGGACUGAUACUGACACUGAGGUGCGAAAGCGUGGGGAGCAAACAGGAUUAGAAACCCUAGUAGUCC
rnacentral:rRNA from 1 species